rnacentral:rRNA from 2 species
AGUCGAGCGGACAGAUGGGAGCUUGCUCCCUGAAGUCAGCGGCGGACGGGUGAGUAACACGUGGGCAACCUGCCUGUAAGACUGGGAUAACUCCGGGAAACCGGGGCUAAUACCGGAUGAUUCUUUCCCUCACAUGAGGGAAAGCUGAAAGAUGGUUUCGGCUAUCACUUACAGAUGGGCCCGCGGCGCAUUAGCUAGUUGGUGAGGUAACGGCUCACCAAGGCGACGAUGCGUAGCCGACCUGAGAGGGUGAUCGGCCACACUGGGACUGAGACACGGCCCAGACUCCUACGGGAGGCAGCAGUAGGGAAUCUUCCGCAAUGGACGAAAGUCUGACGGAGCAACGCCGCGUGAGUGAUGAAGGUUUUCGGAUCGUAAAACUCUGUUGUUAGGGAAGAACAAGUACCGGAGUAACUGCCGGUACCUUGACGGUACCUAACCAGAAAGCCACGGCUAACUACGUGCCAGCAGCCGCGGUAAUACGUAGGUGGCAAGCGUUGUCCGGAAUUAUUGGGCGUAAAGCGCGCGCAGGCGGUUCCUUAAGUCUGAUGUGAAAGCCCCCGGCUCAACCGGGGAGGGUCAUUGGAAACUGGGGAACUUGAGUGCAGAAGAGAAGAGUGGAAUUCCACGUGUAGCGGUGAAAUGCGUAGAGAUGUGGAGGAACACCAGUGGCGAAGGCGACUCUUUGGUCUGUAACUGACGCUGAGGCGCGAAAGCGUGGGGAGCAAACAGGAUUAGAUACCCUGGUAGUCCACGCCGUAAACGAUGAGUGCUAAGUGUUAGAGGGUUUCCGCCCUUUAGUGCUGCAGCAAACGCAUUAAGCACUCCGCCUGGGGAGUACGGCCGCAAGGCUGAAACUCAAAGGAAUUGACGGGGGCCCGCACAAGCGGUGGAGCAUGUGGUUUAAUUCGAA